rnacentral:piRNA from 1 species
UGGGAAGACACAGUCACCUGGGUGUGUAAC